UACGUAGGGUGCGAGCGUUAAUUGGAAUUACUGGGCGUAAAGCGUGCGCAGGCGGUUCGUUGUGUCGGCGGUGAAAGCCCCGGGCUCAACCUGGGAAUGGCCGUUGAAACUGGCGAACUGGAGUGUGGCAGAGGGGGGUGGAAUUCCGCGUGUAGCAGUGAAAUGCGUAGAGAUGCGGAGGAACACCGAUGGCGAAGGCAGCCCCCUGGGCUAACACUGACGCUCAGGCACGAAAGCGUGGGGAGCAAACAGG
rnacentral:rRNA from 1 species